AAGUCGUAACAAGGUAUCCGUUGGUGAACCAGCGGAUGGAUCAUUACCUGAACAAAAUACGCCAAAUGUGGUGUGGCUGACACAUUGUUGUUGGCCUCUGGUGUGGUUGGUGAAUCAACCUGCCAGGACUUGUGGUGUGCAAUGACGAGAGUUGGUGUCGAAGCCAACAAGGAGUCGCACGCUUGAUGAGUGAGGGGAUUGCUGGAACGGAGUCCUUUUGGAGUCCAGGCGAGAUGCCUCCUCAAUCCCGGUGACUGCCAUUGACUUCACUGAAGCGAUUGUCUCAAAGAUGACAACUGCUGGCCGUGGAUCACUUGGCUGACG
rnacentral:misc_RNA from 1 species